GACGAACGCUGGCGGCGCGCUUAACACAUGCAAGUCGAACGGGAUUUAGUAAACGGAAGCCUCGGUGGAAGAUUACUAAUGAGAGUGGCGAACGGGUGAGUAACGCGUGAGCAACCUGCCUAUGACAGUGGGAUAGCCUCGGGAAACCGGGAUUAAUACCGCAUAAAAUCGUAGAAACACAUGUUUCAACGGUCAAAGAUUUAUCGGUCAUAGAUGGGCUCGCGUCUGAUUAGCUAGUUGGUGAGAUAACAGCCCACCAAGGCGACGAUCAGUAGCCGGUCUGAGAGGAUGAACGGCCACAUUGGAACUGAGACACGGUCCAAACUCCUACGGGAGGCAGCAGUGGGGAAUAUUGCACAAUGGGGGAAACCCUGAUGCAGCGACGCCGCGUGAACGAAGAAGGUAUUCGUAUCGUAAAGUUCUGUCCUAUGGGAAGAUAAUGACAGUACCAUAGAAGAAAGCUCCGGCUAAAUACGUG
rnacentral:rRNA from 1 species